AAAUAGGCAAACUCAUCAACGGACUCCCCAUCCCCUCUUUUUUUCCAUCUAAUUGGUUUAUGUGUAUUUAUGUGUAUUAUAGGAUAGGAUAAAAAGAUAAUUAGAAAUCCUUUAUUUUUUCAAGCCGAUCGCUCUUUUGAUUUUGGAAAAAAAUCUCGUUAUCAAUAUACUCUUUCUUCUACACAUCCAUCUCCCCCUCAUAGUGGAGAAUACCUAAUAGUUAGGACUUAUUAAAAGAAAAUAG
rnacentral:misc_RNA from 1 species